rfam:Eubacterium sp. 14-2 genomic scaffold acPFD-supercont1.1, whole genome shotgun sequence.
UGAUAGCGAUGAAGCGUGAGGUUGCUGCCCGAAGAAAGGCAGGUUUUCCGUGGAGCGAAUGUCAAGUUAGGAAACUGGCGACAA